rnacentral:lncRNA from 1 species
GGUUCUUGCGAUCUAAACACCAUGAUAUGGAGAACGAUUUGAUUGGUUUUUUAUUUAUUUUUCAUUUUUUGUUAUCUAUCAUACGUUUGGUUGUGUUUGUGAAUGCUUCAAAUCGGAAGUCUUAUCUAUGACUAAAAGUCAGUCGGAUGACGGAAUCAUAUCCGAACUCAUUUUUUGUCGUUUUUCUCCCAAAAUAACUCAAUCUGAAUAAUCAUAAGAAUGGAUGACAAAUG